rnacentral:rRNA from 1 species
UACGUAGGGUGCGAGCGUUAAUCGGAAUUACUGGGCGUAAAGCGUGCGCAGGCGGUUCGUUGUGUCGGCGGUGAAAGCCCCGGGCUUAACCUGGGAAUGGCCGUUGAAACUGGCGAACUGGAGUGUGGCAGAGGGGGGUGGAAUUCCUGGUGUAGCGGUGGAAUGCGCAGAUAUCAGGAGGAACACCGGUGGCGAAGGCGGGUCUCUGGGCAGUAACUGACGCUGAGGAGCGAAAGCGUGGGGAGCGAACAGG